GGAAUACAAAACCAUCAUCGCAAGACCAGUUUCUGUUGGUAGGGGUUUCGGUUCUUACUUCCCCCAAAAGAAUCCAUUUUCUCUCCAUGGGAAACCUAAAGAUGGGGAAAAACAAAAAUUUUCCGGAAAAUAUCCCACUCUUCUUCAUGUUACAACUCAACGUGAACCUCAUGUUCAAUGUGCAUUUUAUAGCAGACCCCUAAAAAAUAAAGCCUGGGACAAAGAGUCGUCAUCAACAUAGACCUUCAUAUUGAAGGCGCAUACCACCAAUUCAGAUAAGCGUUAAUUGUCGGCUCCUCAAAUGCUUCUGUAAAUUUUAGGAUUCUGUUUAAUCAAAUAUUGCUUCUGUAAUUUUUUGUGCUUUUGUG
rnacentral:lncRNA from 1 species